rnacentral:rRNA from 1 species
GAUGAACGCUGGCGGCGUGCCUAAUACAUGCAAGUCGAGCGAAUGGAUUGAGAGCUUGCUCUUAUGAAGUUAGCGGCGGACGGGUGAGUAACACGUGGGUAACCUGCCCAUAAGACUGGGAUAACUCCGGGAAACCGGGGCUAAUACCGGAUAACAUUUUGAACCGCAUGGUUCGAAAUUGAAAGGCGGCUUCGGCUGUCACUGAUGGAUGGACCCGCGUCGCAUUAGCUAGUUGGUGAGGUAACAGCUCACCAAGGCAACGAUGCGUAGCCGACCUGAGAGGGUGAUCGGCCACACUGGGACUGAGACACGGCCCAGACUCCUACGGGAGGCAGCAGUAGGGAAUCUUCCGCAAUGGACGAAAGUCUGACGGAGCAACGCCGCGUGAGUGAUGAAGGCUAUCGGGUCGUAAAACUCUGUUGUUAGGGAAGAACAAGUGCUAGUUGAAUAAGCUGGCACCUUGACGGUACCUAACCAGAAAGCCACGGCUAACUACGUGCCAGCCGCCGCGGUAA